rnacentral:lncRNA from 1 species
UACAAAAUACAUUAUCAAAUAUGUUCUUUUCAAUGUGCAUGAUGUCAAGAUUAUGUCGAAGAAGAAAUAUUUUUUAAUAUGAAAGAUCGAACAAUUUGCUCUUUUUUCUCUAAUUUUCGAUACUUAUUCGCAUGCCUACUUGGCUGGCCAGAUCCUUACCAAAUAUGACAUCCUAUGGAUCGGAUAGCUGAUUUAAAAUGUUAUCCGUAGACUAGAAUCUUAUCUGGGCAUGUCAUUCAUGCUUUCCGUUGAACUUAAGACUUCUUCUCCAUCUAUGAUCAUCCGACAAGAAACGUCGAUGGCUGGUGAAACAAAUCUUUCCACGAAUAUGGUCCGA